GAGGAAUGUGACACCGAGAACGAAAUAGGUGAACUCGCAGCAGAAAUUGAUAAUCUGACGGCAGAGCUGGAGGAACGGGAGAGAAAAAUCAGUACGUUUUGGUUUUGGAGCCGGCAAACUCACAGCAGAGUUGGGCGACUGCGACGCAAAACUCAAGGAACGUGAUAGAAAAAUCACCAAACUCGCGGCGGA